rnacentral:rRNA from 1 species
GCAAAUUCCAACGAUGAAUGUCUCGGGUCCCGCAACGAUGAAGGACACAGCAAACUGUGGUACGCAAUGUGAAUUGCAGAAUUCAAGGAAUCAUUAGGUCGCUGAACGCUCUUGGUGUUUCGUUGGGGUAACUCAAGCGAAACAUGUAUGGCUCAGGGUCUCA